rnacentral:rRNA from 1 species
UACGGAGGGUGCGAGCGUUAUUCGGAAUUACUGGGCGUAAAGCGCGUGUAGGCGGGGAAGCAAGUCUGAUGUGAAAGCCCUGGGCUUAACCUGGGAAGUGCAUUGGAAACUGUUUUUCUUGAGUACUGGAGAGGAAGGGAGAAUUCCCGGUGUAGAGGUGAAAUUCGUAGAGAUCGGGAGGAACACCAGUGGCGAAGGCGCCCUGCUGGACGGUUACUGACGAUGAGACGCGAAAGAGUGGGGAGCAAACAGG